GUGUAUGUUUUUCAGUCGAAAAGGGAAAGAUCGGGCACUUCCCAAACAUCGACUUAAAAUCGGCUUCCCAUGGAGUGCGGGUUCGAGUCCCGCCGUCCGCACCA
rnacentral:tRNA from 1 species